UCGGGAAUUUUGGGCAAUGGGGGAAACCCUGAUCCAGCGACGCCGCGUGCGUGAAGAAGGCCUGCGGGUUGUAAAGCACUUUCGGUGGGAACGAAAUAUGCCGGGCUAAUACCCCGGUAGGCUGACGUUACUCAAUGAAGAAGCACCGGCUAACUCUGUGCCAGCAGCCGCGGUAAUACAGAGGGUGCGAGCGUUAAUCGGAAUUACUGGGCGUAAAGCGCACGUAGGUGGCGACGUAAGUCGGGUGUGAAAUCCCGGAGCUCAACUUCGGAACUGCCUUUGAUACUGGCAAUCUCGAGUCCGGAAGAGGUUAGUGGAAUUCCCAGUGUAGAGGUGAAAUUCGUAGAUAUUGGGAAGAACACCAGUGGCGAAGGCGGCUAACUGGUCCGGUACUGACGCUGAGGUGCGAAAGCGUGGGGAGCAAACAGGAUUAGAUACCCACGUAGUCCCUGAGCGGGCUGGCAAGGCGCAU
rnacentral:rRNA from 1 species